rnacentral:rRNA from 1 species
AUGAACGCUGGCGGCGUGCCUAAUACAUGCACGUCGAGCGAACAGAUGAGGAGCUUGCUCCUCUGACGUUAGCGGCGGACGGGUGAGUAACACGUGGAUAACCUACCUAUAAGGCUGGGAUAACUUCGGGAAACCGGAGCUAAUACCGGAUAAUAUAUUGAACCGCAUGGUUCAAUAGUGAAAGACGGUUUUGCUGUCACUUAUAGAUGGAUCCGCGCCGCAUUAGCUAGUUGGUAAGGUAACGGCUUACCAAGGCAACGAUGCGUAGCCGACCUGAGAGGGUGAUCGGCCACACUGGAACUGAGACACGGUCCAGACUCCUACGGGAGGCAGCAGUAGGGAAUCUUCCGCAAUGGGCGAAAGCCUGACGGAGCAACGCCGCGUGAGUGAUGAAGGUCUUCGGAUCGUAAAACUCUGUUAUUAGGGAAGAACAAAUGUGUAAGUAACUAUGCACGUCUUGACGGUACCUAAUCAGAAAGCCACGGCUAACUACGUGC